UGGAUGUCCCAGUAAGGGGCCAUAAUGCUGCAGCUGUCCACUUUUGGGUGGUACCUGCAUAUUGUACAAAACCAUCUGUAAAACAGGCCCAGGUCUUCUCUUCCUCUGUCAGCUGACCAUAGAGCACUCCCCAUGAGGUGCAGGCUGGGAGAGAGAAGGCAGUGUAGCAGGAGUGGGCACCAUGGAAUUUUAGCCACUUCUUCAUGUAACUUACUUAUGCUUUCAGGGCCUACUCAGGCCCAGUCACAUAUAUACCACUUCCACUUGAUGAUGGAGUGUUUCUGUGCACACUUAACUUUAUGGCUUAGUCAGCCAGAUAACACCUGGUUUAUGAUGGGCAGCUCAGGUCACAUGGUAACUUGGUGGCCUAUGGUUAAGCAUUCAGUCUCUACAAAGGCCCGAUAGCAGGGCACGAGCUCAUUCUCAAAAGGGGAGUAGUUAUCUGCAGAGGAUGGCAGGGCUUUGCUCCAAACCCAAAGGGCCUGCACUGCGAUUCAGCUAUAGGAGCCUGCCUAAGACUCCAAACAGCAUCCCUAUCUGCCACUGAUACUUCCAGAAUCAUCGCAUCUGCUGGAUCACAUGGCCCAAGUGGCAGCACCAUUUGCACAACAGCCUGGACUGUUGCAGAGGCUUCUCUUGUUCUGGGCCCCACCCAAAACUAGCAGCUUUUGAGUCACUCAGCAAACGGGCCUGAGUAACUCACCCCAGGAGGAAUAUGUUGCCUCUAAAAUCCAAAAAGGCCCACUACAUAUUGUAUUUCUUUUUUGGUUGUAGGAGUGUCUAGAGGCAACAACUUAUUCCUCACCUUAGAAGGGGUAUCUCGAUGUGCUCCUCAUCUCUGGACCCCUAGAAAUUUCACUGAGGUAGAAGGCUCUUGAUUUUGGUUGGAUUUAUUUCCCACACUUUGAUAUGCAAAUGUAUUACCAAUAAGUCUAGAGCAAUUGUUACGUCUUGUUCACUAGGUCCAAUAAGCAUAAUGUCAUCAGUGUCAUGGACCAUUGUGAUAUUUUGUGGAUGGGAAAGAUGAUCAAGAUCAUAGUAGAUUAUGACAUAGGGCUUGAGAGUUGAUAAACCCCCAAGGUAGGACAGUGAAGGUGUAUUGCUGGCCUUGCCAGCUGAAAGCAAACUGCUUCUGAUGGGUGUUAUGGACAAGGAUGGGGAAAAAGGCAUUUACCAGAUCAAUAGCUGCUUACCAGAAAAUCUGCAAAGUCUCGUAGCCAGAGCAUGCGCAAAAGAAGAAAUCUUGACCUGAAGAGACCAUGGAAUCAAAGAUCUUUCUUCCCAUGGAACCCAAGGACUGGAACACAACCAGAACUUGAAAGUCAGACUCUUAUCAGAGUAGCAAAAUAGCCCCUGGGAGUCCUCUCUCCAUAAGACGUGCCCUAAAGAGUUCUCUCCUCAACACCCUGCCCCUUGAUCUGCCUCAUUCAUUUUCCUGGUCUGCACUAAGGAUGCGUGAGUUGAAGAAUCUCUUCUUUAUUGUGAAGAAAACUGGCUGUGUUUGCUGAGUUCUCACUGUUCGCCUGGAGCUGGUAGAAGAGCAUCUAAAGCUGACUCUUCCCUCUACCCUGGAGGAGAGAAGAACAAUGGCGUUCAUUCACCUAAGACCCUGGAAGUCUUCAAAAAUAGACUCAAGGAGGGACGUGGGACUUGCUGACUUCUGAGGGAGGGCAGUAUAUCCAGGAAAAUGAGGAGACAGAGAUUUCAGAAAGAUGGAAGGGCAAAAGCAGAGAGACAGAUGAAGAGGGAAUAAGGACCGUGUUAGAGUGUGUAAGGGGGCAACACCCUGAAGGUCUGGGCAGGGUGUGAACUUGCUCUUUGAUUAGGCAACAGGAGUGAGGUGCCUG
ensembl:lncRNA